CUUCUGAUAUCUUCGCCCAUUCGGCUAUAAAAGUAGACUCACCUCAUCCCCCCUUCUUCACACAAACACGGCUCUGUGUUUCUGUCCCUCUUCUUCUAGGAUUAGAUGUGAUGAGAGGUCGAGUUGUGUGGUGUGGAGCUGCAAGUUCACUAACCAUGGUGCCAGUACAAAGAUCGAUCUUUAUAUCCAGGUUUUGCAUUUGGAGGCAGUAAACUAGAGGCAGCAACUCCAUAACUUGCGGAAAGCUUGUUGGAUGAUGACCAUGCCAAUGAUUUUACCGAAGUUAUGCAGUUGCUGCCUCAAGCUUGCUGCCUCCCAAUGCCAAACCAGAGAGGUUAAGAUGAAGAAGUUUGAUUAUGAGAGACCUCCUGCUCCUGUAUCCGUGUUUUCUAACUAAAUGGGCGAUGAAAGAGAAAAGUGAUCAUGCAAGAAGCGACUGUACUAUUAUUGCUGCAAUCUACCAAAGCUGUUCAGGAUCGACAGAGCUUCAAGAAUAGCUCGUGAAGACACCCCCCAAUCGAGCCCAAUCUUGACAGAGUAUCUUUUAACCGGGUAUCUUGUCUUCACGAGAUGAUCAGACCUUUUCGUUGGUUGAUCACUCCUAACAAUAGGAAACCGUCGUGACCUACAACUCCGCCUGUGAGCCAUCUUCCUGGGCCGGACUACGUUUUAGAUGGGCCCGGCCUGCGAUGCGAGUGCUCGUCCGCAUCCCGGUAUCUGCGAUUUAGACUCGCUAAAAAAACACAUUUAAUCUCAGAAACAAAUAUUCCCCGUCGAGCGUGGAGCGGCAUCGGCUUCAGUUUCAGUUUUUCAAUCCGCCUCCACUUCCGCACCUUUUCGUUCACCCACCAAAUCGACGUCUUCCCCGGCUCCUGCGGUCGGCAGCCGCACGGGACAGCCCCUAAGCUGAGAUCCUGAUCUAUGUUACGCUCGCGUCAGACCGCCUUCCCGGACCUCAGCUUCUUCUCCCAUCUCUCCACCUCCGUUCUCUACCAAUUUCAGCCGGCUGUUAGCUUCCCGGCGAGUCGAGCCGACGCCGUCUCUAUAGCACCUGGCCGCAGUUUUUGUUGUGCGGGGUUUUGGGCCAUCCCCUCCCGGCGGCCAUUAUAUCUGUGUUUGGUUUGUGAAUCUAACGAGUCCAUAGUGUCGGGGACUCGGGGUGACGGGGGUUAUGUGCCACCAUACCUAGGGGUUUCGAUAAUUUACGGAAAAUUGCUCGUGGAAAGGUUGCUUUUGUCGACUUAAUAAUCCGCGAGGAACUAAGGUGCCAGAUUUGGGCUUUCUAAUUAAUGCCGGAAGUACAUCGAAACUAGUAUCCUAGAGAUCAAAUCAACAAAUUUGAGAAAAAAAAGUAUCUGAAUGUCACCCGCUUCAUAUGAUCUCAUUGGCUGUUCCUGUUUUUGCGACCAAGCACUGAUAUUUUAUCUUUCCCUGUUCAAGUAAUUCUGGUUCCUGAUAUUUCAAUUCGUAUUGCUAUUCAUGCAAUGAGUCACAUGAGCUAACUUGAUAUUAAUGAUCCCCAAUGCAUUGCAGACAGAAGAUCAAUGGCUUCGUCAGCUGAAACAAAUCGUGAAACCUGCCAACAAGUUGUCCAAGAUAUGAGACGAGAAUCUGUGCUUGACACACUUCCAGAUGACAUCUUAAAUCACAUACAUUCCCUCAUGCCAGUGCAAGAUGCUGCUCGUGCUGCAUGUGUGUCUCGCCAAUUUGUGCGUUCAUGGAGAGGCUAUUCCAACCUCAAACUCAACGCGCUAACACUUGGAUUGAUUGACAAGAAUCCAAAGAAAGAGAAAUCCAUCUUAUUGACAAAGUUGAUCGCAUACUUGUGAACCAUUGCAGCAAUGGGGUGAAGGUGAAGACACUUGAUCUAGAUCUUUCGGAUUGCAACAAUAUCAGUCCGUCCGACCUGGACAGGUGGCUCCGUAUCACUGUUAAAUCUGGGAUCAAAGAACUUACCUUGGGUUUGUGUUUAUUCAUGAGCAAAAAGUACAGCUUUCCGUGUUUGGUUUUGUCUGAUGAGGCAGCUGCAAGUUCGAUUCGGUCCCUUCGCCUCACUGGUUGUGUUUUUCAUCCCACAACAACACUUGGCUGCUCGAGUAACUUGAAAAGAUUGGAUCUGUGUUCUGUUCACAUUACUGAGAACGGACUACAGCACGUGCUCUCAAAAUCUUUUGCCCUAGAGUGGUUGCAAAUCUUCUUAUGCAGCAAUAUAAUUUCCUUGAGGAUACCUUCUAUGCUGCAGCAGCUCAAGCACCUCAAGGUUUCAGCGUGCGAUCACAGGCGGUGGAAAUCAAUGCCCCAAAGCUCUCCUCUUAGCACUAUUAUGGCACCCUGGUAGAUUUUUCUGUUGGAGAUCCUUUACAACUUAAAGAUGUAAAGAUGUCAUCUUUCCUUA